rnacentral:rRNA from 1 species
UGAGGAAUAUUGCGCAAUGGGGGAAACCCUGACGCAGCGACGCCGCGUGAGUGAUGAAGGCCUUAGGGUUGUAAAGCUCUUUCGGCGGGGAAGAUAAUGACGGUACCCGCAGAAGAAGCCCCGGCUAACUUCGUGCCAGCAGCCGCGGUAAUACGAAGGGGGUUAGCGUUGCUCGGAAUCACUGGGCGUAAAGCGCACGUAGGCGGAUUGUUAAGUCAGGGGUGAAAUCCUGGAGCUCAACUCCAGAACUGCCCUUGAUACUGGCGAUCUUGAGUGCGGGAGAGGUGAGUGGAAUUGCGAGUGUAGAGGUGAAAUUCGUAGAUAUUCGCAAGAACACCAGUGGCGAAGGCGGCUCACUGGCCCGGUACUGACGCUGAGGUGCGAAAGCGUGGGGAGCAAACA